ensembl:snRNA U2 U2 spliceosomal RNA
AUAACCAUUUAUCCAAAAUAAAAUAAAUCUGUUCUUAUCAGUUUAAUAUCUGAUAUGUCCUCUAUCUGGGGACAAUAUAUUAAAUGGAUUUUUCCACAGUGAAGUAGGUUAUACAUAACUGUGCCAUUAUGCAGAAUUCUGAUUGUGUGCUGUCAUAAUUAGCUUGU